AUUGAACGCUGGCGGCAGGCCUAACACAUGCAAGUCGAGCGGAUGACGGGAGCUUGCUCCUUGAUUCAGCGGCGGACGGGUGAGUAAUGCCUAGGAAUCUGCCUGGUAGUGGGGGACAACGUUUCGAAAGGAACGCUAAUACCGCAUACGUCCUACGGGAGAAAGCAGGGGACCUUCGGGCCUUGCGCUUUCAGAUGAGCCUAGGUCGGAUUAGCUAGUAGGUAUGGUAAUUGCUCACCUAGGCGACGAUCCGUAACUGGUGUGAGAGGAUGAUCAGUCACACUGGAACUGAGACACGGUCCAGACUCCUACGGGAGGCAGCAGUGGGGAAUAUUGGACAAUGGACGAAAGCCUGAUCCAGCCAUGCCGCGUGUGUGAAGAAGGUCUUCGGAUUGUAAAGCACUUUAAGUUGGGAGGAAGGGCAGUAAGUUAAUACCCUGCUGUUUUGACGUUACCAACAGAAUAAGCACCGGCUAACUUCGUGCCAGCCGCCGCAGUAACAC
rnacentral:rRNA from 1 species